CCAAGGUAACGAUCCGUAGCUGGUCUGAGAGGACGAUCAGCCACACUGGGACUGAGAUACGGCCCAGACUCCUACGGGAGGCAGCAGUGGGGAAUAUUGGACAAUGGGGGAAACCCUGAUCCAGUCAUGCCGCGUGUGUGAAGAAGGCCUUAGGGUUGUAAAGCACUUUCAGCGAGGAAGAAAAAAUUAUAAAAUAAUAAAUUAUAAGUAUGACGUUACUCGCAGAAGAAGCACCGGCUAACUCCGUGCCAGCAGCCGCGGUAAAACGGAGGGUGCAAGCGUUAAUCGGAAUUACUGGGCGUAAAGGGCAUGUAGGUGGUUUGUUAAGCCUUAUGUGAAAGCCCUAUGCUCAACAUAGGAAAGGGAUAAGGAACUGACAAGCUAGAGUGCAGUAGAGGAAGGUAGAAUUCCAGGUGUAGCGGUGAAAUGCGUAGAUAUCUGGAGGAAUACCAGUGGCGAAGGCGACCUUCUGGACUGACACUGACGCUGAGGUGCGAAAGCGUGGGUAGCAAACAGGAUUAGAUACCCUGGUAGUCCACGCUGUAAACGAUAUCAACUAGCCGUUGGAUUAUUAAAUAAUUUUGUGGCGUAGCUAACGCGAUAAGUUGAUCGCCUGGGGAGUACGGCCGCAAGGCUAAAACUCAAAUGAAUUGACGGGGGCCCGCACAAGCGGUGGAGCAUGUGGUUUAAUUCGAUGCAACGCGAAGAACCUUACCUACUCUUGACAUCCAAAGUACUUUCCAGAGAUGGAAGGGUGCCUUAGGGAACUUUGAGACAGGUGCUGCAUGGCUGUCGUCAGCUCGUGUUGUGAAAUGUUGGGUUAAGUCCCGUAACGAGCGCAACCCUUGUCCUUAUUUGCCAGCGCGUAAUGGUGGGAACUUUAAGGAGACUGCUGGUGAUAAACCGGAGGAAGGUGGGGACGACGUCAAGUCAUCAU
rnacentral:rRNA from 1 species